GUAUUAAAUAGCAAGUGUAGUUACCUGGGUACACCGUGACUCGAUAAGGUGGUCUAAUGUGUCCCCGGGUAAUCGGGUAGACCUUCUUCCAUAAUUCACACAUUGAAGAGUUAGUGGUGGAUUGUGCAUAAAAGCUUAAAACACAUAAUUCUACAUCAGGAGGUAGAUUCAAAGGCACCGUACCCAGCAGUUAGUCUUAUUGUGUGAGUUAGCAUUGUAUCUCA